rfam:Sphingomonas melonis TY scaffold15, whole genome shotgun sequence.
UGGGCAUGCGCGGGAGAGAGCCCCUCACGAAAGGGGCCGCCGAAGGAGCAACCACCCCGGAAUCUCUCAGGCAAACGGACCGCGCAGGCCUU